GAUGAACGCUGGCGGCGUGCCUAAUACAUGCAAGUCGAGCGAACAGAUGAGGAGCUUGCUCCUCUGACGUUAGCGGCGGACGGGUGAGUAACACGUGGAUAACCUACCUAUAAGACAGGGAUAACUUCGGGAAACCGGAGCGAAUACCGGAUAAUAUAUUGAACCGCAUGGUUCAAUAGUGAAAGACGGUUUUGCUGUCACUUAUAGAUGGAUCCGCGCCGCAGUAGCUAGUUGGUAAGGUAACGGCUUACCAAGGCAACGAUGCGUAGCCGACCUGGGAGAGUGAUAGUCCACGCUGGAACUGAGACACGGUCCAGACUCCUACGGGAGGCCGCAGUAGGGAAUCUUCCGAAAUGGGCGAAAGCCUGACGGAGCAACGCCGCGUGAGUGAUGAAGGUCUUCGGAUCGUAAAACUCUGUUAUUAGGGAAGAACAACUGUGUAAGUAACUAUGCACGUCUUGACGGUACCUAAUCAGAAAGCCACGGCUAACUACGUG
rnacentral:rRNA from 1 species